CGCACGCUGGCCGUCUUGGGGCCCUGCUUUGCUACGGGGGUGGCUCUACCCACCUCAUGGCUGCUGGGGCUCCCGGGCGAGGGGGUCCUGCCAGGGCACGGACUUUGCCACCCCCUCUCCCGGGCUUGAGUUACGCUGCGGAUCAUAGAGAUGGGAUUUGAUACGAAUGGCAGCUCCAAAAUGAUCCUAAGCGCUGGCUCCUCUGUCAGAAGAGCUCUGGCUUCCAGUCCAAAACCAGCAUUGGACCUGACGUGCCAGCCCCUGAAACGUUUCUUCUGCUUUUCCCAGAAUGUCAGGAAUUGGAAGGGACCUGGAAAGCUCAUCCAGUGCAAUCCCCCCAUGGAGCAGGAACACCCAGAUGAGGUUACACAGGAAGGUGUCCAGGCGGGUUGGAAUGUCUGCAGAGAAGGAGACUCCACAACCCCCCUGGGCAGCCUGGGCCAGGCUCUGCCACCCUCACCAUGAAGAAGUUUCUUCUCAAAUUUAAGUGGAACCUCUUGUGUUCCAGUUUGAACCCAUUACCCCUUGUCCUACCAUUGGUUGUCACUGAGAAGGGCCUGGCUCCAUCCUCAUGACACUCACCCUUUAUAAACUUUUGUUUCAACUGUGUAAGAUUUUCACAGUUACAUUCUCUCCAAAGCUAUUCCGAGUCACAAAUCUUCUGAUACCACUGUAAAGCAUAGGUCCCAUAAUCUACACCCUUCAGAAAAAAGGCAUCAGUCACAAAAUCCAACUGUUAUUUUGGAGAUUGUAAUACCUACUAGAUAAUCAGAUGAAUACUUGUAACAACAUUGUUUACAGAUCCAUUAUUUUUUGCCCUUGACUUACCUAACACAGCUUUGGGGAAAAUCCAAAUAACCAGAUUCCAAAGGGCAAACAUCACCUCACAGAUGUCACCGAACCGAACCCUCGAGUCACCGCUGAACAGGCCUGUUCGGAGAGGAAAAGCGUUUCCCACCCACAGCGGCCGAGCAGCCCCCGGAGUCAUCAACCAGAAGGCGGCACUAGAGAACAAGUCCAGGCGCCCCCUCAGGGCGGUCAGUUGUCACCAAGGAGAAACCUUCAGUCCAGCCUUCAGCACAUCACUUUUCCACUGUUGGUAAGUGUGCUGUGUCUCUCAACAAGCAUUUAACUUGCUCUAUUACGGGUUUUCAUUUACACAGCAGCACUGGAUACAGAAAAUGUUACAAUGUGCUCACAGGCAUGUGCCAACAAGCAGGAAUGCCAUGUGGUGUUAGUUGCAGUGCUAUGGAAAAGCAAAUGGUUCCAUGUUACUGAAAAUCUUUUAUGGAGAUAAAGAAUGCAGUCUGCAUUUAGUCCGUUAGCACUGUAUAUGAGUUUUCAUUAUUACGAUCACAAAUUCUAUCUUUAAAAUAGUCAUGGCUAAUGGUUUUUCUUCACAGAAUUCACCCAAAGUACAUUUAAGAGAGACACUUUUGAUGUCUGAUGUAGGCAAGUCAAAACACGUUUUACAUCUGUAAAGUACCUGUUUUUGAAGAGAAGCUGCUAAAUUUAGCAUGACUCUGCUGUUAAGUUUAUGUCUUUGUUUCAGUUUCUUUUCCUAUAUUUUACCCCACUUUAUAAGAUAGUAAUUUAUAGUUUUUGUCGACUAAGUAACCAAAUACAUUAAAAAGCAUAGUGAUUUCUACUGUUUAA